rnacentral:tRNA from 1 species
AGUAAAAUGGUCGAGUAGGCAUUAGACUGUAAAUCUAAAGACGGGGGUAAAAGCCCCCUUUUACUA